AAAACUUUAUGACUAAUUAAUUAAAUGCGCUAUAAAAAUGCUGCUUGUUCCAGCCCCAUGAAAAAUAAUUAUUUAAACAAAAAGCGGAAAAAAGGAAAUUAUCGGAGCAGCGAGCGACAAAACGUUUGAGUUAUGUGCAAAACAAGUUUUUCAGCAUCGCGGACAAAGUGUUGGCCAAAUAUGCAGGUGGGUGAACUGGGGAGUGUGUGUGACGUGUCGCUGUUUGCUGUUUUUAUACCCUGGACUCAGAAGAAUGCUGAAGAAGGCAUACCUGCGUCAAUGAAGCUUAAAUAUUUUUGGAUAUAUUCUCCUGUUCUGUGUUUUUGUGUCUGUGUUUAUUGAAGGAAGUUCACAUGUAAUUCAGCGACGCCCGGAGUGAUAUCUGCUUGUCGGGUAUUAUUAAUUCUUUCUAUUCAUUUUUUUAUUUUUCGUUCAUCCUAAAAAGUUUUUAAUGAGUUUGCCAAAUGCAGCAAAAUGCACAGCUGACUCUACGUCAAUUGGUUUACAGUCUUGUUUUCAAAAAAGAAUUUCAAGCAAACAAGAAUAGAAAAGUUUUAUCCAUGGGCAUUCGGAGUCGAGUCCCUGGCUAGUUAGAUUUAAAACAUGAAGUAAAUAGCAAAUUCUAAUGGUGAUACAACUGGAAAGUUCGCAAAACAUACCGAAGACAUGCUCAAUUUUUUUAAGUUUAUACUUAGUUAGUUUAUAGACGUCUUGCUUAAAAACUUGAGCUGGGAGUAUAAAAUAUGCAUGUGUGUUAUAUUUAGAGCUUAAAUGUAGAUUUAGUUAUGAAUGAGCUAUGAGUACUGUUUUUUUUUAGAUGUGUACUUAUUACAUUUAAUACACAUAAGCUAAAAGCUUUUCGGUUGGGUGUCAAUUGACCCCCGUUCAUAUGUCAACAUCAUGCACAAUAGCUGUCAAUGGCAAAGCGGCAGAGAAAUCGUGGUAUUCACCAGGUUAUUCAAUACGUUGACAGUUGCAUGUACAUAUGUCGUCGUAAAUAGCCAAACCCAAACUGAAUUUCACACACGAACACAUACCGAAACGCAGCCAUUAAUGGUCAAUUUCAUUUCGAUUUGAUUGUGUGGACGAUUUUGUUCUGGGGCAUUCAACGUCUGAGCUGGACUGGCAAUUACGACAGCCUCCUGUGGCGCACGUUAAGUGCGCGUCCGUUCAAGGGCUGCUCAUUCGAGUAGUACACGAGUUGUGUUCACGUAUUCGUGAAUAGUAUUUGGAAGCCAAAGGACCUCAUGUGGGUUUGUCAAAUUAGCGCAUCGUUGGUCGAGCCGGGCCGAAAGCUCUAGACUCGUUGCGACUGUAUGAAAAUCGUUAAUUUUUGAGUCAAGUUUCCGCUGGCCAUUUCUUGCCACCGACUUAAAGCGACUCACAUCAACACGCAGCGGGUUGCCCCAGGCCGCAAAUUGAAAUGAGUUUUGCCAGCCAUGCAAAUUCCUACUCACACAACAUGUUUCCGUGGCUGCUAAUCACAAAUUCAUUAAUUUCUCAGACCACGGGUCUGUACGAUGGGCAUGCAAAUUAAACAAUUAACAUUUAUGUGCGGCACAAGCAAAUACAAUGGUCAAAGGCCGUAGGCUAUGAGCUACCUAUCUUGAUGGCUGAUUUGACUUCAGGUGUGGGAAUAAUACAUUAUAUGUGCGCUUAACUAUUUGGCCAUAGGUUGAGAUAGGCAUAUAUGUAUAUGUAAUGCUGUAGAAACUGUUCAUCAACUAAAGAAUUUAUUAAACGUAUGUAGAAUUUUGAAAAAUAUUCUGCUUUGAGUUUUGUGUUCAUAGUUUUCACACCCCGAAACUGGAAGCAGCUUGUCGCCAACAGUGCCAAGCGAUUGCACUUGUCGUUCGUCAUGGCGCUUCUUGCUUGUAUAUCGCAAAUCGAGUGGAGUCUAUUUACAGACGAUGCCCGAAACCAAUGAGCCCUGCUUCUGACCCAGUCCCAGACCCGUGGCCGAUACCAAUUCUGUGCCCAGCAGCAGUUCUGUUCAGUUUCUGAUUCCGAUUCAGGCGGGGUAAACAAGUCAAAGUAGUAACCGCCGACAUUUUGCCGUUCGACAGCCGCAUCCCCAGCUUGCCACAUCCACCCAGUCGGGGCCAACCACAGACGCGUCUUUUGUUUGCUCUAGCUCAUUGUUGUUGUUGUUUUUGGUGUGCGCGUGUGUGUGUUUGUGUGUGUGUGUGUGCGUAUCUGUGUGUAGUCUGGUUAGCUGUUUGCCAUUGUGGCUGCAGAUUUGCUCGUUGAGGCACUAAACUUUUAUUUCUUAAAUCCGAAAUCGUUUGUGCCCCUCGCACAAAGUCAAUAUGCGGGCACAUUUAGGGGACGAGAGCUAAGGGUUGGGGACAGUGGGGGCUGCCCCAAAAGGGCGUCGGGCUGCAUGUCUGUCAACGGCAAUGUAGCCGCUGUUGGCUUCCUGUUUCUGAAAAUCGGUUUUUGUUGAUUUGCGCGCCAGUUGUUUAGUCGCCGAAAACAUGGAACGCCGCCAGUCAGACCAAACGACAUCCAUAUCCAACAUCCAACAACCAAUGUCCAGCAACUGGCAACUGGCAACUGGAGUGGAGUUUUGUUUGUUGUCCGUUUGUCAAUUACAAACUUUUAUUGCAAUUUACUUUUGUU